rnacentral:rRNA from 1 species
CCUACGGGAGGCUGCAGUGGGGGAUAUUGCACAAUGGGGGGAACCCUGAUGCAGCGACGCCGCGUGGGUGAAGGAGGGUUUCGGCGCGUAAAGCCCUAUCGGCAGGGAAGAAGAUGACGGUACCUGACCAAGAAGCCCCGGCUAACUACGUGCCAGCAGCCGCGGGAAUACGUAGGGGGCAAGCGUUAUCCGGAUUUACUGGGUGGAAAGGGGGCGCAGCCGGCAAUGCAAGCCAGGAGUGAAAGCCCGGGGCCCAACCCCGGGACUGCUCUUGGAACUGCAUGGCUGGAGUACAGGAGGGUCAGGCGGAAUUCCUAGUGUAGCGGUCAACUGCGUAGCUAUUAGGAGGAACCCCGGUGGCGAAGGCGGCCUGCUGGACUGUGCCUGCCGUUGAGGCCUGAAGGCGUGGGGAGCAACCAGGAUUCGAUACCCCUGUAGUC